GGCUUUAUAUUAAUAAAAUAUGAUAACAGAAUACAAUUCUAUAGCAGUAAUAAAUUACUAAGACUU
rnacentral:tRNA from 1 species